UACGUAGGGGGCAAGCGUUGUCCGGAAUCAUUGGGCGUAAAGAGCGCGUAGGCGGCCCAGUAAGUCCGCUCUGAAAGUCAGGGGCUCAACCCCUGGAUGCGGGUGGAUACUGCUGGGCUAGAGUCCGGAAGAGGUGAGUGGAAUUCCUGGUGCAGCGGUGAAAUGCGCAGAUAUCAGGAGGAACACCGAUGGCGAAGGCAGCUCUCUGGGACGGUACUGACGCUGAGACGCGAAAGCGUGGGGAGCGAACAGG
rnacentral:rRNA from 1 species